UUUCUCUCAACUAAAACCCUAGGCGUAAACUAGGAUUACAAAACUGAACCUAAUAGUAUUAGACCCUUAAAAUAUUACUAAAAACGAAUUAAAUCUGAUUGGGUAAGGAAAAGACCAAAAUACCCCUUACUAUUUCCGGCUAACUUUCCUUAACUGGGCAGCCUAACUUCAAAAGGCCAUAUCUCACUCAUCCAAACUCGAAACUUAGCAAACUUGACGGCGUUGGAAAGAUAAUUCAAAGUUCUUUCCUACGGUAACUGGUAGAACGCCUAAAUCAUCCUGAGCUAAGAGUUAUGGUCGUUUGAAGUCAACCCAAAACUCAUACUUAGCUUAACUUGUAAAAUUUCAGAUUUUGCUAAUUCCAAUUUAAUUCUUUUUGGAACUCAAGGUGCUACAUCUAGUGACCUUAACGCUUAAUAAAUUUUAAUUCCUCGGUAAAAUUCUACUCACAACGAAGGAUGGUUCAAGUCUUAGUUCGAAAAAAUUUCUGGGGUGUUACACAACUGUAAGCACAUACUGAAAUUGAGUGAAAGCACAUACACUCUCAACCUAUCGAGACUUAAAUAAAAAAAAUGAGAAAUGCUAAAAUAAGUAAAAGCACAAUUGACUAAACAAUAUCAGCCAACUUUGAAAAUUCAACAAGGAAUUUUAUGACGUGUUGAUUAAAAUUUGCAAAGGCCAUCACAUUAAAGCUCAUAGAUAAGAAAUAACCAGUACCAAGGCUAAGUAUCAAAUAAGUUCAUGUCAGAUUUUCAUAUUAGACAAGGACAAGAAAAUUAUUUUCUGGAAAGUAAACGUGAACUUUAGGUAAAUCGAUGCAUUGCAAUAGAUGAGAUGCGAACAUAAUAUCAUGAAUAGGAACCAAUGAGAUAUAGACAUCACUCAAACUACUCGCGAAAACAGGGGUGAAUCAUACAAGAUUAGGCUAAACUUUAUUGGAAAGCUACAAUCAUGAAGCGACACAAUUAGAAGGGACAUCCGGGAACACAAAGAAACAGUAAAGAGGAUGGAACAGCACAGCCGACACAAACGGAUAUUCCUCAACUUGAACUAACUAGCUUAUCUACAUGGAAUAUACGGCCGAUUCUAUUAAAUAAAGAAAAUUAAUGAUGCACUAAGCAACAGAUAAAUCACAACUUUUAAUUUGCAAAUAAUAAAUGUAGAAAACAACCUAUAUAUUAGGUCAUGUAAGUCGAAAUCACCUGUAGAAGAUGAUUUCGAGUUUCACGACUGAACCACAACUUUCACAGCUCACUAGCCGAGAUAAGAGCGAAAUAAAAGAUUCCAACAAUGAGAACAAGAACUCGGGAGGGGGGAAACAUCAGACUUCAACGAAAAUGAAAACAAACAACAACUAUGGACUUUCAAACAAAUCCUAUCACUGAUUUGCAACCAACAGUAGUGUAUCAAAGACAUUCCAAAUCCUAGCAUGUAAGGAGCUCACACAUUCGAAAGUCAACUAACAACACAUUACGAGCAAAACGUAGAAACGAAGUGAGUGUUACCUUUAAAGGUGCAGCAAAACCGAGACAGAUCGAGCUAGAAUGGGCAGCGACCUCUUACACCACUUCAAAACUCGAGCAAAUAACCGGAAUAUCCGAACUGACUUCGAACAAAGACUCUUUCAAAACCAAAAACUAAAACUGCAUUACGAAUUUCUCAAGUGUAAAAAUCAAUUGCUCAAGAAAACUCCCCACUCUUUCUCCAACCCUUUACAGUGAAUAAGGGUAGAAUAUAUAUAGGCAAAAUUAGGGUUCGGAUUUGGGGGGAAAACGGAUAGAAUUCGAAUAGGAAUGAGACCCACCCCAAAUUCAAACUUCAAAAUCUUUCACCAUUAAAGAAAGACAUACUUUUUCCUGCAAAUUCAACCCAUUCCGAAAGAGGAAAGGGCGAGAUGGGCGCCCGGGAUCGAUUCAUUCGUCCUUGGGCGCGACGUGGAGUAAUCUCAUGGCUACAAGGACUGAGACGUGGCUUGGUGCUCUGCUGCAGGUACAAAUUGGAAAGGGACAUUGAGGAAGAAGACAAGAAAAAUGCAGAGUACUGCUUGCUUGCUACUGCUUUUCCGUCUGCCUCCGCUUGCUUCCGUGAAUUAAAUCGUUGGAAUUUGACGCGUAAUGUUGUUGAUAUGAAUGUUG
rnacentral:lncRNA from 1 species